GCUGGGCAUGGUGGCGCGUGCCUGUAAUCCCAGCUACUCAGGAGGCUGAGGCAGGAGAAUUGCCUGAACCCAGGAGGCGGAGGCUGUGGUGAGCCGAGAUCGCGCCACUGCACUACAGCCUGGGUAACAAGAGCAAAACUCUGCCUCAA
ensembl:misc_RNA Metazoa_SRP Metazoan signal recognition particle RNA